UACGUAGGGGGCUAGCGUUGUCCGGAAUCAUUGGGCGUAAAGCGCGUGUAGGCGGUCCGGUAAGUCCGCUGUGAAAGUCGGGGGCUCAACCCUCGGAUGCCGGUGGAUACUGUCGGGCUUGAGUACGGAAGAGGCGAGUGGAAUUCCUGGUGUAGCGGUGAAAUGCGUAGAUAUCGGGAGGAACACCCGUGGCGAAGGCGGCUCUCUGGGCUGUAACUGACGCUGAGGAGCGAAAGCGUGGGGAGCAAACAGG
rnacentral:rRNA from 1 species